UGGUUGAAGGCACAGCCGUCAGAUUCCAAGAAGUUCGCUUUUAAUCCUUGCCCGCUGUUUCCAAGCAGGUGACUCUCUGGCUCUGGGGAAGUCUUUCUGUAUUUUAUUUUCCUGAUCUGUAAACUAAGGGAUGAUAUUUUCAACACCAGGUGUUGAGAGGAAUAUACAAUUAGUACAUGUAAAAUACUUGACACAGUCUCCUGUAUGAAGUAAUAAUAAACAUUGCU
rnacentral:lncRNA from 1 species